rnacentral:rRNA from 1 species
AACGCGUGGAUAACCUGCCGUAUACCGGGGGAUAACACUUAGAAAUAGGUGCUAAUACCGCAUAAGCGCACGGCUCCGCAUGGGGCAGUGUGAAAAACUCCGGUGGUAUACGAUGGAUCCGCGUCUGAUUAGCUAGUUGGCGGGGUAACGGCCCACCAAGGCAGCGAUCAGUAGCCGGCCUGAGAGGGUGGACGGCCACAUUGGGACUGAGACACGGCCCAAACUCCUACGGGAGGCAGCAGUGGGGAAUAUUGCACAAUGGGGGAAACCCUGAUGCAGCGACGCCGCGUGAGUGAAGAAGUAUCUCGGUACGUAAAGCUCUAUCAGCAGGGAAGAAAAUGACGGUACCUGACUAAGAAGCCCCGGCUAACUACGUGCCAGCAGCCGCGGUAAUACGUAGGGGGCAAGCGUUAUCCGGAUUUACUGGGUGUAAAGGGAGCGUAGACGGCAGCACAAGUCUGGAGUGAAAUCCCGGGGCUUAACCCCGGAACUGCUUUGGAAACUGUGCGGCUGGAGUGCAGGAGGGGUAAGCGGAAUUCCUAGUGUAGCGGUGAAAUGCGUAGAUAUUAGGAGGAACACCGGUGGCGAAGGCGGCUUACUGGACUGUAACUGACGUUGAGGCUCGAAAGCGUGGGGAGCAAACAGGAUUAGAUACCCUGGUAGUCCACGCCGUAAACGAUGAUUACUAGGUGU